AUGGCCGCCGCCGGUGGCAUUUUCCCAUCGCGCCUCGAUUUGGCCGCCUCAGCGGAGGCGCUCGUGGCCUGGAGGGUCGGGGGCCUCCUGGCCCGAUUCAUGGCCGCAGCCGUCUCGGCUGUGCACGCUGGCGUCGUGACGUGGUGGCCAGGCGCUGGUUGCUGCCUCACCGGACCCCAGCGUGCUGGCAGGCCUCUCCGGCAUCUCUGCUCCUGUAAAGAAAGGCUCUGUUCUCUUAACAAGGAUGGAAAGUAUAAUGGCAUACAAAAACCAACGUGGACAACCGAGAUCUGGAACUCCAGAACAAUCUGA
rnacentral:rRNA from 1 species